CUGUAAGCCUGUGAAGGUGUACUGUGAGGUAUGCUGGAGGUAUCAGAAGUGCGAAUGCUGACAUAAGUAACGAUAAAGCGGGUGAAAAGCCCGCUCGCCGGAAGACCAAGGGUUCCUGUCCAACGUUAAUCGGGGCAGGGUGAGUCGACCCCUAAGGCGAGGCCGAAAGGCGUAGUCGAUGGGAAACAGGUUAAUAUUCCUGUACUUGGUGUUACUGCGAAGGGGGGACGGAGAAGGCUAUGUUGGCCGGGCGACGGUUGUCCCGGUUUAAGCGUGUAGGCUGGUUUUCCAGGCAAAUCCGGAAAAUCAAGGCUGAGGCGUGAUGACGAGGCACUACGGUGCUGAAGCAACAAAUGCCCUGCUUCCAGGAAAAGCCUCUAAGCAUCAGGUAACAUCAAAUCGUACCCCAAACCGACACAGGUGGUCAGGUAGAGAAUACCAAGGCGCUUGAGAGAACUCGGGUGAAGGAACUAGGCAAAAUGGUGCCGUAACUUCGGGAGAAGGCACGCUGAUACGUAGGUGAAGUCCCUCGCGGAUGGAGCUGAAAUCAGUCGAAGAUACCAGCUGGCUGCAACUGUUUAUUAAAAACACAGCACUGUGCAAACACGAAAGUGGACGUAUACGGUGUGACGCCUGCCCGGUGCCGGAAGGUUAAUUGAUGGGGUCAGCGCAAGCGAAGCUCUUGAUCGAAGCCCCGGUAAACGGCGGCCGUAACUAUAACGGUCCUAAGGUAGCGAAAUUCCUUGUCGGGUAAGUUCCGACCUGCACGAAUGGCGUAAUGAUGGCCAGGCUGUCUCCACCCGAGACUCAGUGAAAUUGAACUCGCUGUGAAGAUGCAGUGUACCCGCGGCAAGACGGAAAGACCCCGUGAACCUUUACUAUAGCUUGACACUGAACAUUGAGCCUUGAUGUGUAGGAUAGGUGGGAGGCUUUGAAGUGUGGACGCCAGUCUGCAUGGAGCCGACCUUGAAAUACCACCCUUUAAUGUUUGAUGUUCUAACGUGGACCCGUGAUCCGGGUUGCGGACAGUGUCUGGUGGGUAGUUUGACUGGGGCGGUCUCCUCCUAAAGAGUAACGGAGGAGCACGAAGGUUGGCUAAUCCUGGUCGGACAUCAGGAGGUUAGUGCAAUGGCAUAAGCCAGCUUGACUGCGAGCGUGACGGCGCGAGCAGGUGCGAAAGCAGGUCAUAGUGAUCCGGUGGUUCUGAAUGGAAGGGCCAUCGCUCAACGGAUAAAAGGUACUCCGGGGAUAACAGGCUGAUACCGCCCAAGAGUUCAUAUCGACGGCGGUGUUUGGCACCUCGAUGUCGGCUCAUCACAUCCUGGGGCUGAAGUAGGUCCCAAGGGUAUGGCUGUUCGCCAUUUAAAGUGGUACGCGAGCUGGGUUUAGAACGUCGUGAGACAGUUCGGUCCCUAUCUGCCGUGGGCGCUGGAGAACUGAGGGGGGCUGCUCCUAGUACGAGAGGACCGGAGUGGACGCAUCACUGGUGUUCGGGUUGUCAUGCCAAUGGCACUGCCCGGUAGCUAAAUGCGGAAGAGAUAAGUGCUGAAAGCAUCUAAGCACGAAACUUGCC
rnacentral:rRNA from 1 species